rnacentral:rRNA from 1 species
UGGGGAAUUUUGGACAAUGGGCGCAAGCCUGAUCCAGCAAUGCCGCGUGCAGGAAGAAGGCCUUCGGGUUGUAAACUGCUUUUGUCAGGGAAGAAAUCCUCUGGGUUAAUACCUCGGGGGGAUGACGGUACCUGAAGAAUAAGCACCGGCUAACUACGUGCCAGCAGCCGCGGUAAUACGUAGGGUGCGAGCGUUAAUCGGAAUUACUGGGCGUAAAGCGUGCGCAGGCGGUUGUGCAAGACAGGUGUGAAAAUCCCCCGGGCUUAAACCUGGGAACUGCACUUGUGACUGCACGGCUAGAGUACGGUAGAGGGGGGAUGGAAUUCCGCGUGUAGCAGUGAAAUGCGUAGAUAUGCGGAGGAACACCGAUGGCGAAGGCAAUCCCCUGGACCUGUACUGACGCUCAUGCACGAAAGCGUGGGGAGCAAAACAGGAUUAGAUACCCUGGUAGUCCACGCCCUAAAACGAUGUCAACUGGUUGUUGGACGGCUCGCUGUUCAGUAACGAAGCUAACGCGUGAAGUUGACCGCCUGGGGAGUACGGCCGC